rnacentral:miRNA from 1 species
GUUGGGGUCCAUGCGUCUAGGAC